GAAAUGCGAUAAGUAAUGUGAAUUGCAGAAUUCAGUGAAUCAUCGAAUCUUUGAACGCACCUUGCGCUCCUUGGUAUUCCUUGGAGCAUGCCUGUUUGAGUAUCAUGAAAUCUUCAAAGUAAAUCUUUUGUUAACUCAAUUGGUUUCUACUUUGGUAUUGGAGGUCUUUGCAGCUUCACACCUGCUCCUCUUUGUUCAUUAGCUGGAUCUCAGUGUUAUGCUUGGUUCCACUAGGCGUGAUAAGUUAUCUAUCGCUGAGGACACUGUAAAAGGUGGCCAAGGUAAAUGCAGAUGAACCGCUUCUAAUAGUCCAUUGACUUGGACAAUACUUUUAUGAUCUGAUCUCAAAUCAGGUAGGACUACCCGCUGAACUUAAGC
rnacentral:misc_RNA from 1 species